GACGAACGCUGGCGGCGUGCUUAACACAUGCAAGUCGAACGGAAAGGCCCUGCUUUUGUGGGGUGCUCGAGUGGCGAACGGGUGAGUAACACGUGAGUAACCUGCCCUUGACUUUGGUAUAACUUCAGGAAACUGGGGCUAAUACCGGCUAGGAGCUCCUGCUGCAUGGUGGGGGUUGGAAAGUUUCGGCGGUUGGGGAUGGACUCGCGGCUUAUCAGCUUGUUGGUGGGGUAGUGGCUUACCAAGGCUUUGACGGGUAGCCGGCCUGAGAGGGUGACCGGCCACAUUGGGACUGAGAUACGGCCCAGACUCCUACGGGAGGCAGCAGUGGGGAAUAUUGCACAAUGGGCGGAAGCCUGAUGCAGCAACGCCGCGUGCGGGAUGACGGCCUUCGGGUUGUAAACCGCUUUCGCCUGUGACGAAGCGUGAGUGACGGUAAUGGGUAAAGAGGCACCGGCUAACUACGUG
rnacentral:rRNA from 1 species